AACUCUUUUUCUUUUUUUUUAAUCAAUUCAUUCAACAGUCUCUCUUCUCUUGUUGUUAUGUACCUAUCAAAACAUAUACAACCCAGAAACACCUCAGAGUACCUUAUUUAUUUCUCUUUUACUAACAGGCUGAUGUUCCUAAACAAUGGCUGAAGAACAAACCGAGGCUCCAGGCUCGGUUUAGUGCUGAGUUUUGCUGUAUGGACCCCGGGAUGUUUCUGAGCUGGUUUCUUUGAGAAAUGAGGGAAGUCCCAGGGAGGGCUCUGCUGUGAGCAGUUCUGCUGGCUCCUUCCCCUGCAGCCACAGCCAGGCAGCCAAAGGAUCAGCCGUGAGUACUCGGAGUCCUUUUCCCAGGAGGGCCUGAGCCAGGUGGAGGUGAAGGAUGGCAGGAGGGGCAGCAAUGUGUCUGUGUCCCCAGCAGCCCUCGGCUGAGUUCAGCUGUGCAGCGGGAUGUGCAUUACAGUAGCCUGAAAUGUCUCUCUCUGCUGACAGCUGAAGCUGAUGAUGCACUGGGCCAGACAUUUCCUUUGCCCAAGCACCAGUCACUUUGGCCAAGAUCUAAGGCAGGCCUUGAGGCCAGGCUGAGAGAAGAGGCAGGGCUGUGCCCAGCUGUGCAGCCCUUCAGCAGAGAGCCAGCAUUUACCACACUGACCACAGCCGUGCUCCUGCAUACAAUAGCCAAGAAAACCUGCAAGAACCAUUGGCUUGAAACAUGCCCAUGGGGGAGAUGAUUCUCCUCUGGGUCAUUAACUCCUGAAAAGACUUUAAUCAGGGCCAGCUUGCAAAAAAAUCCCAACCCAAGCUCAAUAAGACCGAGACAAGGAGGCAGCUGGUUAGCUAUAACUAGUGCAUUUAGCUACUUCCCUAACCAUUGUCCACCCUUAUUAAUGGUUAAACGCUCUCUGUGUCAUUGUUUGCCGUUUCUGGCCAAUUCAAACUCUUUCAAGUGGGAGGAAGAGUGAAGCGUGGAGGGAAACCAACACCAAAAGCCUGCUUGUAUUUUACAAGACACCCAAUUAAAUGUCACCUCAGGUUACCUAUAAGUGUCACUUGCUUUCCUGUUGAGGGACAUUUAUUGGAACUCAGAAAUGCAUGAAUGAGCAGGGCUCUUAACCUUGCCUUGAGACUGGUGAAUGCGUAUUGUGCCUAACUGUCAUCCUUCGUACUUACGUGUUAUCUUUCCCUUAUCUCCACAGUAUCAGAGAGCUUCAGUUUUCUGCUUAUUUAUCUCCAGGGUGUCCUGAGGACUUCCUAAAAGAAUGAGAUCUGACUAACUUGUCCAAAGUCACAAAAGAAACUGGCGGCAGCACAGAGGAUUGGUGAUUUGCUAGCAUGACAUGUGGGUGACCAUGAAGUCUUUCUAGAGCACCUCAAAUGUCACAGCAGCCCUUUGGCCUUGGGCCCCUGCCCUUCUUGCAUGGGAGGGGUGGAAGCUGUGCUGGGCUCAGGCCCUUGUGGGUCUGGGUGCCCCGUGGCUGCCCCUGUAUGGCACAGCUGGAGUCAUGGGAGCUUUCCCUGGCCAGGGGGCUGUGGCAGGUAACUCAUGCCCCUGCUCAACCACUGAUGCCUUGGUCCUCCACCGAACUGAAACUGCUGAGAGUGGUAGAUCUGUUAGACCAUGUAUUUUUCCUCUUGCAGCCAGAUGCUCAAUAAGGAUUAAGCCGAAUCUACUACCUAAAUUUCUUACUUCCUCACUUCCAACUCCUGCCCAGUGGCCAUGACAUUCUGUUUCAAGCAGGGAUGAACCUCUUCUGGUAAAUGAAACCCCAUACCCGACCCUUGCCUCAGACUUGAACCAAACUUAACUUGACUCUUCAGUUGAGUUUGAAAAGUUGUUUCAACAUUUUUUUAAGCUCACAUUCCUCUGUUCUCUUUGGGUUUUGACUGGAGGUAGAGGCACCAAAAUACCCUGAGGAAUGCUGUCUUAGAUUAAUUUCUGACCCUGGUGAUUAACCAGUCUCUCUGAUCCUGGUUAACUCUGCUCGUUUACAGGCCAAAAACCCACUUGGGCAAGAUUCAAACAAACAUCCAGGCCAGCAGCUUCAAGUGCUCUCAUUCACAAGCGAUCAGUCAGAAAUCUCUGCUGAUUUUGGUGGCACUGACAUCAAAGGUACAGCAUUUUUCACUGCAUGACCACUCUGACGUCACCACUGUAAAGCCUGAUGGAGGAUGGAAUGAGCAGAUCCUGCCAGUUUUCUCUGCCUGGAUUUGGCAGCACGCAGAGGUUUCGUGAUGUGCUCUACUGGAGGUUGUUUUUGGCACCUCCCCUGCAGUGUCAGUGCCAGUGUGCAGCAGAAGAGCAUCUCAUCUCUGAGCCAUGCUGGAAUAGGAGGUGGGAGUCAGCACUUUUCUUCCAGCAGAUGCCACCCAACCUUGACCUCCACCAUCCAGAUGUGCAGGAGCUUUGGAAACUCAAGAGACAGAUGAGCACACAUGGAAGAGCGAUGCUCAGGUGCAGAGCGAGCAGGAGUGUGCAUUGCCACUGAUAGUGUUUACAGAACUGUGUUCUGCCACUGCAUCCAUCUUGCUGCACAGCCUGAGGCCAUCACCACAUGAAACAGUGAAGGAGAGGCUGAGCCUGCACACCCACACCAAAAUGCUUUUGAUAUUUGGAGAUCUACAGGAAUGGGUCACUACUCUGGCCAGUUUGUUGUUGUCUACCGUGGCUGUUGCAAGACUCAAAGAGAGAGUGCCAGGAUUAAAACCAAACCCAACUCCAGGCUUUGAAGGAUGUAGGGUGCCAGGCAAUGCCACUCAGUUAUGAAGCAGAGGAAAGUGUAAAGCUGAUGGCUACGUGUGAAGCCAAACAAAAGCAGAUUAGAAAUGAAACACAUUUUUAAAUAAAUGUGAGCUUCGAAAUCAAGUAAUUUGAUGAGUCUCCAACUUCUGAUGUGUUCAUAUUCCCAUAUAUUGGUAUGUCCGGAGCUGGAUGUUUUCCUGGAAGAUGCAGCAAAGCUACUGGGCUCGGUACUGGGCUAAUUGACUGCAACUGAAUGGCUUUGAAAUAUAGGAAGUCAUACCAGAUGUUCUCAUGGCUCCUUCUGGCCUUAAAUCCUGUGAUUCUAUGAAUGAGUUUCUGAAUCUGCGAAAUCCCAAGUCCUGAGAAUACAAACAUAUGAGUAGAGUUAUACUUCUGGCCUCCACAUCAGAAGAAAGAUAUUGAAUGUGCAUUGUUGUGAUAAAUCAAAGAAGCAGCUAAAUCAGAGCUGUAAUAAAAGUCAACUGCAGAUCUUUGUGCAGAAAUUGGUCAUAUGUCAUGUGAGGACAAGGUUUGGAGAUGAGAUUUCUCAACAUCUGAAAUGACUUCUUCUGGAAGCAGCCUCUUCCAAGCACUGUGGUGGAGAUCCUUCAGACUCUCCACAGUCUGCUGUGCCACACAGGAGCCUGUUUGACAAGUGACGAUCAGUGAGGCACUGAAUGCUGCUGACCACAGUGUAAUUGAGAUGAGCAUCCCUGCCACGAAAACCAGCAGCGAGACAUUCAAGCCAAGAGAAAGGGGUUUUGUUUUUCUGGGCUUCCUUAAGGGGAAGCACAUCAAAACUGGGGAAACUGAAAUCCAUAGUCAGCAAGAAAGCUUACUCAGCCAGCUCUAAGCACAGUCACACCAACCGUGUAUCCACCCACUCCGAAAAGUUUUUUGAAAAAGGAAGAAGAGCAGCAACAACAAAAAUCUCAGAAGAAUUAUGAUAAUUCUGUGAGAUUUGAAAACACACCUAAGUAAUCUGAUUAAUUCUGGGAGGAAAUCCUCUCUAUACCCCAUAACUGGAUUCAGAUGACAUGAGUGUGAGUAUCACCACUGAAAUUCCUUCUUGCCAGGCUCUGAGCAUCUCCAGUUUCCUGUCCUCACCAUCUGUCUUGGCUAUGCCUCUGGCUCUAGCUGGAGAAGGCAGCAGAAUGGGCAGGACCCACCUGGGAACCAACAGGUCUCAUCAGCACAACAUGGGGUGAUUCCUAAGAUGCAUGGUUGAUCACUGUGAUGCAAAUCUCCCUCUUUCAUGCAGGGAGGGUUCUGGGCCCUUGCAGCACGGACCCAUUGCUUUAAAGAAAACCUCCAAGAAACAGACACUCGGUUUGAAUGAAACGCUCAGAAAAAGAACAUGUGCUGCCAAAAUUCUCCAGUGAAGCACCCUUAUUAUAUAAUGCCAGGCUACAUGUGUCGUGCAAAGUGCUGUCUGUCAUUUGCAGAGGGCCCGUUGAUGCUCUAACGUCACCACCAAUGUCACGCAACACUGGGUGAAGCAAAGAGCGCGGCGAUGUCACCAGGAAACACAUAAUGCCAAUGACAGUGGAACUAAUGUACAGGCGAUUGUCCUUACAUUAUUCAACACUCCCAAUUGCUCUCUGGUUUAAGUGGCUAUAUGAUGUAAUAAUAUAUAAAUACUGUAAUGAAGGGUUUAUUUAUAGCCAUCCUCAGUGUUACUGGUGAAAGUAUUAAUGCGCUUUUCCCACGCUAUGUUCAUUGACCGCAGCCGUGCAACCCAUUUUCAAGGGACCUUGUCAAAAGAGUGUUUAAGCCAUUCCUCAGUCAGAGGAACAGGUGAACAGCUAAUGCAGCAAGGGAAGUAAUCAGCUUUGAAGAUGGGAAGGAAGAAAACCAAAAACAAAGCAAAGAAGUGUGGGUGAAGAGAGGACACACCUCAAAUGGAAAAAGAGGGUAAAGUGUCUCCAAAGCUGGCAACUACUUUCCAGCCUGGGGAACAACAGACUCCAUGGAGAAAAAGACACUUGCACCUAGCUCUCAUUUAAGACAUGAUAACUGAUGGAGGGAGCAGGGGGGAGUGAUCAGACCUUGGACCAAAAGCAGCUUCAAGUCUUAGAAAUAUGGAGUGAUGCCAUUCACACUGCCAGAGUUGCUCUCGAUUUCAGUGUUGGCCUUAAUUGAGCUUGCAUUUCUGUAUAAUCUUUCACAUCUUUUAGCUUUCCAAACCACCCUGGAGCCGCCAGUAGCUUCCAGAUGUUUUUCUUUCGCCUCCUCCCUGAGGAUGGCAUGGAGAGAAAAACAGCAGGUACUGAAUGGUUGAAGGUGCAGGAUUUCAGAAGGACUAUGUGGCUCUUGCAGAGACACACAACUCUCCCAUUCCUACGCUCCAUCUGCAAAGAGACUUCCCUUUCACUGUAAACACAGCAAAAACGGGAAAAAGCAGAAAGAAAAAUUUUUACUUGUGGGAGAAAUGUGUGAUUUCAUCACUGCAAAGUGUGGGUUUCUUGGGAUGUGUAGAAGAAUCCACAAUUACCUGGAGAGACAAAGUGGUGGAGAUGGGGCUUCUGGCUCUCUGGCCUGCUUUCCUCCUGUGCUGCACCAGGUCCUGACCCACUGCUGAGCCCCUCCUGUUACUGCAGCUCCAUUGCUGACCUAGGAAGAGAUGCUUUUCAGAAAUUCAUCUGAUACCUGCAUUUCCCCUAUUUAGGGAGGAGCUUUUCCUGUCUUUGACUUGGCUCAUCAUUCCUUGCAGGGUGUACCACAUAUUUUCAUUAAGGGCUCUUUGAGUGGUGAAAACAGGGCCGGGCUUGUAAAGAUAAUGUCAAAAUUUCUCCACCCAGAUUAGGACUUCCCCAUUCAUCUUUCUUAAAAUUUGCCAUUCCCAGUGCAUGAAAAUCCUGUGUAUCCAUGUGGGCUUUGAGUGUGAAGCAGAGCAAGAAAUGGGGCAAGAAAUGGAGUGACAGCAGGAGGGGAUGUAUCUUCCUCCACUGCAUUGGCAUGCUGCCAGCAAGUGCAAGAAUCUGCCUUUUUUUUUUCCCUGUUUCUCAACAGAGCUGCGCUGUAAACAGCAUUCAUCACACAGGGAGUUCCACUUAGAAAUGGGUGAAUGCUAGAAAAAUACUAUUUACAAGUCCUCCCUCAAAUAAAAACCAUGAGUUUAUUUUGGCACCGGCAGUGAUUCUCCAAGUGAUUGCUUCUGGCAAGUGCUCAGGCAGGUACAACAACACUUGUUGAAAUAUUCAGAGGAUGGGGACAUGUUGGAGAUACUUGUGUAAAUGUGAGCUGUGGGACAGUUGUGCAAAUCUGUGCAGUGAGGCGUUUGCAUAACUGGUUUUGAUUGCUGCUUGUGGGUUCCAGACUCCUGGAAUCAAAGUGGUGAAGCUCUGCCACAUGACGGAGGUAAACAGGGACACACGCAGAAACUCAUCAAGAAGAGUACAAAUGAAAAUUAACAAAAAAAAAAAAGGCAACAACAAAUAGUUGAACUGCAGUCAGGCAGCAUAGUUUACAACCAGCCCAAAGACUGAGAAACAGCCAAAGAAACCAUUCACGUAAUAACAGCAUGUCAAACACAUCUGUGGAGUUCCUGUAGCAUUUGCAAACAGCGGCCUAAACUCAACAGGAUUUACUUGAAGCAGAUCAUGAGAUUAAAAUCAAGAGAGCAUGCAAAUAUCUUUCUGGAACAGGGCCAGGAGACAGUACUACAAUUGCAUGGUUAAUUGAAUUUGGCAAGCAGUCACCCAGCUAUAUUUCCUCUGGGAUUGACAUGUGGAGUGGAUCGAUUGAUACUGGAGGAAUUAAGGAUGGGGAUCGCAGAAAAAAUGAAGAUUUGACCCAGUGGGCUCACCAAGGUGGGCAGAUGGGCUAAUGUUCAGUAGGUGGCACCUACGAGCAGAGAUCCAAGGCUGGUGUCACCUCAGAUUGCCCCCCCAUCUUCCAAACACUUGUCCUGAUGCAGACAGAGACUUAACCAUAUGCUGGCUGUAGCUGGUGUGCCCACAUGUGAAAGCAAUUGCAAGGCUGGGAGGGCUUGGGUUCUGUUUUGUUUGCGUUGUUCAUUAUCUACAAAUGCAAUUACCAAGGGAUAAAUUAAAUUAGGUUGUAGCGUUAUUUUGAACAUCUUUUCUGGUUUGCUUUACUUCAGAUUUUCUGAGAGGCCAGUGUUUAUAGUUAAAAGUACAACUUGGCAGAAGUACAAUCAGGAGUGAGCAACGCAUACCACAAACAAAACCAUUAAGACCAUUUAGAAAAUUUUUGCAAAAGACAAUCAAGUAUUACAGGCCUAAUUUCCCACUUGGUCACCAUGAUUUUAUGUCAACAUUAACACCAUUGACUUCAGCUGAGCCCUACAGGCACAAAGCUUGUGUGAUGGGGUGGGAAACUGGCCCAGUUUAGGAUUAUGUAUAUCGUAUUAUUUAAAAGACAAAGAAACAAAUCCCAGGAGUGUGUAAGUAUGCUGAAGUCUCUGAAUGUAGACUUUUCCCACUGUAAUCAAAAGCAGAGCAUCUGUGUACUGGAAGGAGUGGAAUCAGGUGUCCUCUACCUGCUAUUGGCAAGGCAUGGCCAUCAACAAUGAACAUUUUGGGGCUGGAUGUAGAGUGUAGGACAGGAUGGAUACUCUGUAAAAUAGAGAGGUGACUAAAGAGAAAGGUGUGUCUUCUUCCCUGAGAACCUCCUCCCCCAGUCCUAAAUACCUUCUUAUUUCUCAUUACUUCAUACACUAGGAUCUAUUUUUAUUGCUUCUCAAAUUAGUAUAAUAAUUUUUUUUUCCGUACGUGUACAAAUAUAGAGAUACAUAAACCCAAAGAAAGACAGGAGGGUUUUUUUCUACCUGGUUGAUCAUUGUUUUGGAUUUUUUUCAUUUUAGGGCUUUUGGAAGUGCAAUUAUAUUAGACAUGCUGGGCUGGCCACUGGGAUGAGUAAAACAGUUUGGGAGAAGAAAAGGUUUGUGAAUAUUUCAGGAUAAUUACUAACAGUUAGUCCCAGACCCAGAAAAAAAAUAUUAAAAAGAAAAGCAAAGAAAAAGAGAGAAAAAGAGUUUUGCCUGUUACUGAUUUCCUUUUUGGUUUCAGGGGCCAUUGUUUGUUUUAAUGACAGGAAAAGAGAGCUGUCAGAAGACAUUUGCAUAGUGCAAAUAGGGUCACAAAUCAGAGGGGCUGUGGAGAUCAUGUAGCACUGAGCCGGCACCCAUCGGUGUGCUGCUACGAGGACGAGGUUGUUUUCUGUAGUAAUGGGGAAAAGCUGAUAGUUUUUCCACAUGCAGUUGAGGGCUCAAGCAAUUUUGGGGAAGAAAAGCUUCCCACUUGCAGCAGGGUCUGCUGGGCUCUCAUGAAGGCGUUGCUGUUUGUUUAUUUUCCUAGCUGUGUGCUUAAGAUGCAUUCUUUGAAAAUUUAGCUGAUGGGUCUGUUUGUAUAGACUGCACUGCUGGUGAGUUAGACCAGGGGUUUGUGUUCAUUUGGGAAAAGAGAAGGAAUCCUGGCCAUCAGAAAUGUUUACUAUAUCAGGAAAUGAAUUCACUACUUGAGGGUUCCAGUGGAUAUAAAACAAAAAUUAAAACAAGAGCCUUGUAUAAACCCACUUUGUAUUGCCUCCUCCAUAAACAACCCCAUACAUGACAAAGCUCGGAGUGAGUGAGAGAGGUAGUUUUAUUGGGGCAUGUGGAAGUGAGUUAAUUGCUGUUGUUUUUUGAUUGUUUUUUUGCACAUGUUGGUGAGUUUGAAGUGAAAUCUGGUUGUCUUUUCUUUCUCCCAUUCCAGGGAGAGCUGAGCCUUUGCUGAGAAAUAACACUAGGCAAAAUGACUUCAAGCUGUCACCAUUACACAACCUAAACUUUAUUUCUUCAUUAAUGCAUUACAGAGCAA